GAAGCUGUCACUGCAAUUUCCGGGAGACGGAAAAUUUUAACAGUGCGGGUCGGUCGCAAAAGUUUUAUCGCGCCGUUUUCACGACACGAAGCGGAAGAAAACGCUGGACAUUAACGGCAAAUUGAAAGGACAAACGCCGAUCUCAGGACGAUCAUUCGUCAAGUGCACCCAUGCGGAACAUCGCUCAGCCGGGGCGAGAAGAAACUCCACCAAAGGUCGCGCAAAGCGGCCUUUUUUAUUUACCGCCUGUGCCAAACCGGAGGAAAUUGUUGUUCGUGCCUUUUCGCACACUGUGCGUACGCCAGUAGAAGCCGCAGGUUCCGCUUCUUUCCCCUGGUGGCUUGUCAAAGCGACACUAAGCUGGUGUGAAGCAGCGCGAGGAGAAAUGUCGUCGGCAAACGAAUCCGGAACAACUGGUUGGCCUGGCUUUCGACCACCUUCAGCUG